UACGGGGGGGGCAAGCGUUGUUCGGAAUUACUGGGCGUAAAGGGCUCGUAGGCGGCCAACUAAGUCAGACGUGAAAUCCCCAGGCUCAACCUGGGAACUGCGUCUGAUACUGGUUGGCUUGAAUCCGGGAGAGGGAUGCAGAAUUCCAGGUGUAGCGGUGAAAUGCGUAGAGAUGCGGAGGAACACCGAUGGCGAAGGCAGCCCCCUGGGUUGACACUGACGCUCAGGCACGAAAGCGUGGGGAGCAAACAGG
rnacentral:rRNA from 1 species